rnacentral:snoRNA from 1 species
CGACAGGUGUUCCUCUUGCUGCUUGAAGCCAUAGCAGCAGGAUUUAGUUCUGUCGGAGAGCAAAACGGCUUGAUUCACUCUAGAUGCCCGCCAGGCGGUUGUGCUGCCCCUCCACGGCAUUUGGAAGUUUGCGAAGUCUGACAACU